rnacentral:rRNA from 1 species
UGAACGCUGGCGGCAGGCCUAACACAUGCAAGUCGAGCGGAUGAAGGGAGCUUGCUCCUGGAUUCAGCGGCGGACGGGUGAGUAAUGCCUAGGAAUCUGCCUGGUAGUGGGGGAUAACGUCCGGAAACGGGCGCUAAUACCGCAUACGUCCUGAGGGAGAAAGUGGGGGAUCUUCGGACCUCACGCUAUCAGAUGAGCCUAGGUCGGAUUAGCUAGUUGGUGGGGUAAAGGCCUACCAAGGCGACGAUCCGUAACUGGUCUGAGAGGAUGAUCAGUCACACUGGAACUGAGACACGGUCCAGACUCCUACGGGAGGCAGCAGUGGGGAAUAUUGGACAAUGGGCGAAAGCCUGAUCCGGCCAUGCCGCGUGUGUGAAGAAGGUCUUCGGAUUGUAAAGCACUUUAAGUUGGGAGGAAGGGCAGUAAGUUAAUACCUUGCUGUUUUGACGUUACCAACAGAAUAAGCACCGGCUAAUUUCGUG